AACGCACAUUGCGCCCGGCAGCACUCUGCCGGGCAUGCCUGUUCGAGCGUCAUUCCUCAACCCUCAAAUCAACUUUUGUUGGUUUGGUGUUGGAGGUUCUGCGGGACCGUCUUGUUUUCGGACAAGAUGCCGCAGCCUCUGAAAAGGAGUGGCGGCCCCGUCGUUUUGGCGCCCCCUGCGAAGUAGUAGCUUUCUACCGCGCUUACGCAUUGGGACCCGACGGGUAGCCUGUCGAAACCCCUGACCCUUUUCGAAGGGUCUCUCUUUCGUACGGUUGACCUCGAAUCAGGUAGGAAUACCCGCUGAACUUAA
rnacentral:misc_RNA from 1 species